rnacentral:rRNA from 1 species
GUAACAUAUAGUUAAUGUACCUUCAAGACUGGGAUAGCCACUGGAAACGGUGAUUAAUACUAGAUAUACCUUCAUAUCAAAAGCUAUGAAGGGAAACGUUUUUUCGCUUGAAGAUCAGACUAUAUCCCAUCAGUUAGUUGGUAGGGUAAUGGCCUACCAAGGCAAUGACGGGUAGCGGGUUUGAGAGGAUGAUCCGCCACACUGGUACUGAGACACGGACCAGACUCCUACGGGAGGCAGCAGUGAGGAAUAUUGCACAAUGGGGGAAACCCUGAUGCAGCAACGCCGCGUGGAGGAUGACGCAUUUCGGUGUGUAAACUCCUUUUAUGAGUCAAGAAAAUGACGGUAGCUCAUGAAUAAGCACCGGCUAACUCCGUGCCAGCAGCCGCGGUAAUACGGAGGGUGCAAGCGUUACUCGGAAUCACUGGGCGUAAAGGACGCGUAGGCGGGAUGCCAAGUCUGAUGUGAAAUCCUAUGGCUUAACCAUAGAACUGCAUUGGAAACUGGUAACCUAGAGUAUGGGAGGGGGAGAUGGAAUUAGUGGUGUAGGGGGUAAAAUCCGUAGAUAUCACUAGGAAUACCGAAAGCGAAGGCGAUCUCCUGGAACAUAACUGACGCUAAGGCGUGAAAGCGUGGGGAGCAAACAGGAUUAGAUACCCUGGUAGUCCACGCCCUAAACGAUGAAUGCUAGUCGUCGGGGAGCUUGUCUCUUCGGUGAUGCACUUAACAGAUUAAGUGUUCCGCCUGGGGAGUACGGUCGCAAGAUUAAAACUCAAAGGAAUAGACGGGGACCCGCACAAGUGGUGGAGCAUGUGGUUUAAUUCGAAGAUACGCGAAGAACCUUACCUAGCCUUGACAUUGAUAGAACACCCUAGAGAUAGAGUAGUGCCCUUCGGGGAGCUUGAAAACAGUGCUGCACGGCUGUCGUCAGCUCGUGUCGUGAGAUGUUGGGUUAAGUCCCGCAACGAGCGC